CUGUCUUAGACUGAUAAGUAAGGAAAUUAAUGAUUCAGGGUGACACCCGAAUCCUCACCGCUAAAUGUGAGAAGAAUUUUUGAGCAGGCAAAGGUUGCCCGUAAGGUGACCCACCUAUUUUGCGGGAUGCCCAGGAGUGGGGAUCUGGGGCGG